AUUGAACGCUGGCGGCAUGCUUUACACAUGCAAGUCGAACGGUAACAGGCCUUCGGGUGCUGACGAGUGGCGAACGGGUGAGUAAUGCAUCGGAACGUACCCAGAGGUGGGGGAUAACGCAGCGAAAGCUGUGCUAAUACCGCAUGUGAUCUGAGGAUGAAAGCGGGGGACCGAGCAGCAAUGUUUGGCCUCGCGCCUUUGGAGCGGCCGAUGUCGGAUUAGCUAGUUGGUGGGGUAAAGGCCUACCAAGGCGACGAUCCGUAGCUGGUCUGAGAGGACGACCAGCCACCGUGGAACGAGCACCCGCCCCAACCUCCUACGGAGGCAACAAGGGGGAAUUUUUGCACAAUGCCCCCAUGCUUAACCCACCAAUCCCGCGUACGAAAAAAACCCCUUCGUUUUCUAAACCUUUUUUACCAAAAAAAAAACGGUCCCCCCUAAUACCGGCCGCUAAUGACGCUACCUAAAAAAAAAGCACCGCCAAACUACGUC
rnacentral:rRNA from 1 species